rnacentral:tRNA from 1 species
UAGGGAGACCUACCCGCAUUGAUGCUUGAACGCCAUUUGUUAUUAAAGCCAAUGUUGGUCAUCCCAAGGUCGUUCAAGGUUAAGUGUUGGCUUUCAAACUAGCUAGGUUUGGUUUAUGGGCUAUUAGCUCAGGUGGUUAGAGCGCACCCCUGAUAAGGGUGAGGUCCCUGGUUCGAGUCCAGGAUGGCCCACCUUUGAAAGCGGUCAACCAACAGUUGUUUCGCUCUAGUCUGUUGAGAUUGUAGUUUAGCAACUGAGCGUUGGUAGCUUUUCUGGGGGUUUAGCUCAGUUGGUAGAGCGCCUGCUUUGCAAGCAGGAUGUCAACGGUUCGAGUCCGUUAACCUCCACUGGGGCUAGAGCGUAUUCCGCUACUUGUUCCAGCAUCUCAUUUCAAGUAAGGUUGGAUUAAUUGAGAGAGACUGCUGGAAGAUUAUCCAGUUAGAACCUUGAAAACUGCAUAGUAACUUGUCAGGUAGAAAUAGUAGAUAGUGAAUAUUUUUAGUAGUGAUGCUAGGAGCUAUUCAUUAAUUACUGAAUCACAGACACCAAUGUAUAACUUUCUAAAAGUUAGAAAUAGU